CAAAAUACUGCACUUGUUGGUUUAACAUGAUAGUACUGUAGAAACUACAAUCAAAUUUGUGGAAUAGUUGAAUCAGGCCCUUUUUUGGCUAAUCCUUUGAUUUGGAGAUUGUUAGCAUUAUUCAACACAAAUUUCAAAAUAAUAAACUUGUUUUGGUUUCAAUACAGCUUCCCCAUGUUAAAAUACUUCACCUGAGUAAGAGUGAGAAAGAGCACAUUUCCCUAUCAAUGCAUGGCUGUGUAUAUGUUUGUUAUAUUGUUGAAACCUGAAGAGCAAUUCAGUAAAAAAAAGGGGGGGGCAUAAAUACAGUUUUACUAGCAUUUUUUAAAAAGGGGCUCAUUUGUUGCAAAGUAGGAAAUGGAAGUGUUGGUCUUAUCUCAUCCCAUGCUUAUGGCUGUGUUUAGGACUUGACUGUUCCUUCUUACCCCCUUAGCCCCCCCAAAUCAAACCAAUGCCACUUGCUAGAGGAAGAAGGGGUCCUAAUUCACAGGCUGUGGUUUAGACUCAUCAGUUAAGCAUUGUUUGUGAAAGGUCAGGUGAAAGAUCACAUCAGUUGAAACACUAGGGUCUACUAUCAAUGGCAUACAUAUGUCUCAGUCUGUUGCCCAGCUAGCCUCUUCAAAAUGUGUUCGGCUUCACUUUUGCAAACAAAAUACAGUCUUAGUGACAAGUAUUUCCUGGUAAUAGAGAGUAUGGUAUGCAAGGGUUCAGCUUUUUCUCCCCACUAAGAAAUACGCCAGACAUUUGUUCUUGUUCCAAUUCAUGAAUCUUUACUUCAGAACCAUUCAACACAUUAUUUACAGUUCCAAACAAUUCAAUUUUCAGUGGGAAGAGAAAGGAGUUUAUGACUUGAACUCCAGAAACGUCCAAACAAAAUUUAAAAACAGUGUUCCAGAAACAUCUAAGAUUUCAUCUUUUGUUUGUUAGCUGAAGGUUUCACAGAAGAUGUUUUGUGACAAAAUUUCUGGUGGAAAUGCUGGAAAAAUCAAAACUUUAUCUCAGAAGUCUGUUUUUGUAAUAUAGUACAGCAUGAAUAAUUGCAAAAGUGAUUAACUUCACACUCUUCCCCCAUCUGAGACAAGAAUCAAACAUAGAAUUCUAAACGUUUGUGUUUGAAGAGGAUGG
rnacentral:lncRNA from 1 species